UACGUAGGGGGCUAGCGUUGUCCGGAUUUAUUGGGCGUAAAGAGCGUGUAGGCGGCCAGAUAGGUCUGCUGUGAAAACUCGAGGCUCAACCUCGAGAUGUCGGCGGAAACCAUUUGGCUAGAGUCCGGAAGAGGAAAGUGGAAUUCCUGGUGUAGCGGUGAAAUGCGCAGAUAUCAGGAGGAACACCGGUGGCGAAGGCGGUUCUCUGGGCAUGAUCUGACGCUGAGGAGCGAAAGUGUGGGGAGCGAACAGG
rnacentral:rRNA from 1 species